rnacentral:rRNA from 1 species
GAUGAACGCUGGCGGCGUGCUUAACACAUGCAAGUCGAACGGAAAGGCCCAAGCUUGCUUGGGUACUCGAGUGGCGAACGGGCGGGUAACACGUGGGUGAUCUGCCCUGCACUUCGGGAUAAGCCUGGGAAACUGGGUCUAAUACCGGAUAGGACGAUGGUUUGGAUGCCAUUGUGGAAAGUUUUUUCGGUGUGGGAUGAGCUCGCGGCCUAUCAGCUUGUUGGUGGGGUAAUGGCCUACCAAGGCGUCGACGGGUAGCCGGCCUGAGAGGGUGUACGGCCACAUUGGGACUGAGAUACGGCCCAGACUCCUACGGGAGGCAGCAGUGGGGAAUAUUGCACAAUGGGCGCAAGCCUGAUGCAGCGACGCCGCGUGGGGGAUGACGGCCUUCGGGUUGUAAACUCCUUUCGCUAGGGACGAAGCGUUUUUGUGACGGUACCUGGAGAAGAAGCACCGGCUAACUACGUG